UACGUAGGGGGCAAGCGUUGUCCGGAAUCAUUGGGCGUAAAGAGCGUGUAGGCGGCUCGGUAAGUCCGCUGUGAAAGUCCAGGGCUCAACCCUGGAAUGCCGGUGGAAACUGUCGAGCUAGAGUCCGGAAGAGGCGAGUGGAAUUCCUGGUGUAGCGGUGAAAUGCGCAGAUAUCAGGAGGAACACCAGUGGCGAAGGCGGCACUCUGGGCUGGCACUGACGCUGAGGAGCGAAAGCGUGGGGAGCGAACAGG
rnacentral:rRNA from 1 species